rnacentral:rRNA from 1 species
UACGAAGGGGGCUAGCGUUGCUCGGAAUCACUGGGCGUAAAGCGCACGUAGGCGGCUUUUUAAGUCAGGGGUGAAAUCCUGGAGCUCAACUCCAGAACUGCCUUUGAUACUGAGAAGCUUGAGUCCGGGAGAGGUGAGUGGAACUGCGAGUGUAGAGGUGAAAUGCGCAGAUAUCAGGAAGAACACCCGUGGCGAAGGCGGCUCUCUGGGACGGUACUGACGCUGAGACGCGAAAGCGUGGGGAGCGAACAGG